UUUUUAUGCUGGGGUUUGAUGAAGAAUGGACAGCUGUGUAGGCCUGCAACUGGAUAAAAAGGACUGGAGUGUGUGCCAGAGGGCGUGCCAAGCUACAAGACAAUCACCUUAGAUUUCCCUGGAGAGUCAAUUUCACCAUAAGGAAUGACCGAAGGAUUGGGGAAGAAAAUACUCCCCCUACUGAUGCUCCUUUGGUUCUACUUGGUAGUGAAGCUCACAAGAGGAGGGACUGCAAAUAAACGUUCCCCAGAUGAUGCAGAGGUCUCUCUCUGCUGACAGUUAAUACCUUGCCUCCAAGCCUGAAUCGCCUUCCUGUCUGUGGGGUGUCUGAACAAACACAGCAAGAUGUGCAGGUAACUGAGUAGAAAGUCGGCAGGGCCUAAGGCCUUCUGCAAGGUGUGACUCUCUCCCUCCACACUGAGAACAUUUUGAAGUGACUUCAGAGGCUGCAGGGCUCGGGAAGUCCCAUGAGAACCGCUCCCCUUUCCCAAGGCACUGACAUGGCCUGUAGCCAGGCAUUGCUGUUUCUCAGCAGCCUGAU